CUGUUCUAUAAAUCUUUAUAAACUUCUGAUCAAAUCUGUUCUGCUCUUUACGCAGGUCUGUCAGGAGGUGGCGCUCUGCUCUCCUGUUGAACUGAACUGAGAGUCUGAGUCAGAUCAACAUGAGCUCCUUGAAGAGGAACUCUUCUAUUUAUUCAGUCUCUGAGCUUCAGACAGGAUGCUGCUCUGUGUUCUGCUCAUCUUUACUCUGACUGAAGAAAUCAGUGCUGCUGAUGGAAUACAGCCACUCUUCAGUGUAAAGCGAGUUUUGGAGGGAGCAGAUGUGACUCUCUCCUGUAAUUAUACUGCAUCUUACAUAAACAGCCUGCAGUGGUACCGUCAGUAUCCUGAAUCAGAACCAGAAUUCCUCAUUUCUCUCACUGAAACUGAGGGAGCAUCUAAUUCUACUCUCCGUCUGACAGCAAAGGCUGACAAACAACAGAAACAAGUGGAUCUGAACAUAUCUAGAACUGCAGUAUCAGACUCUGCUCUCUACUACUGCGCUCUGCAGCCCACAGUGACAGAAACCCACCAAACACUGUACUAAAACUUUACUUGUGAA